rnacentral:rRNA from 1 species
UACAGAGGGUGCAAGCGUUGUUCGGAAUUAUUGGGCGUAAAGCGCGUGUAGGCGGCUUUGCAAGUCGGGUGUGAAAGCCCUCAGCUCAACUGAGGAAGUGCGCCCGAAACUGCAGAGCUUGAGUGCCGGAGAGGGUGGCGGAAUUCCCCAAGUAGAGGUGAAAUGCGUAGAUAUGCGGAGGAACACCAGUGGCGAAGGCGGCCUCCUGGCACACUCCUGACACUCAUACACGAAAGCUAGGGGAGCGAACGGG